rnacentral:lncRNA from 1 species
AUGGGUGAUGGGUGUGGAGCUGUGGUGAUGGGUACAGAACCAUGUCCAUGGGUGAUGGGUGUGGAGCCAUGGCCAUGGGUGGUGGGUGUGGAGCCAUGGCCAUGGGUGGUGGGUGAUGGGCCUCGGUGGUGGGCAAUGGGUGCUGAGCCUUGGAGAUGGGUGCUUGCCUUUGGGGACAUGGCCCUGGGCACUGGGUGCUGGGCACUGGGUAAUGGUCCUGCUACCGGGUGCUGGGCACUGGUACCAGGCACAGGGCACUGGGUGCUGGUGCUGGGUACUGGUCGCUGGUACUGGGCGGUAGUACUGGGAGUCAGUGCUGGGCACUGGUACUGGUUGUUGGGUGCUGGUACUGGGUGCUGGGCACUGGGUGCUGGUGCUGGGCACUGGACACCGGUACUGGGUACUGGGCAGUGCUACUGGGCACUGGUACUGGGUACAGUGUGCUGGAUGCUGGGCACUGGUACUGGUUGCUGGGUGCUGGUACUGGGCACUGGUACUGGGUGUUGUUGGUGGGCACUGGUACUGGGUACAGCAUGCUGGGUGCUGGUACUGGGCACUGGGCACUGAUACUGGUUACUGGUGCUGGUCACUGGUGCUGGGCACUGGUACUGGUCGCUGGGCAGUGAUACUGGGCACUGGUACUGGUCACUGGUGCUGGGCACUGGUACUGGGUGCUGGGCACUGGUACUGGUCACUGGGCAGUGAUACUGGUUACUGGUGCUGGGCACUGGGCACUGAUACUGGUUACUGGUGCUGGGCACUGGUACUGGGUACUGGGCAGUGAUACUGGGUACUGGUGCUGGGCACUGGUACUGGGUACUGGGCAGUGAUACUGGGCACUGGGCACUGGUACUGGGCAGUGGGCACUGGUACUGGUCACUGGUGCUGGUCACUGGGCAGUGCUACUGGGCACUGGUGCUGUGCACUGGGCACUGAUACUGGUUACUGGUGCUGGGUACUGGGCAGUGGUACUGGGCACUGGGCACUGGUACUGGGCACUGGGCAGUGAUACUGGUGACUGGUACUGGUCACUGGUACUGGGUACAGUGUGCUGGAUGCUGGGCACUGGUACUGGUUGCUGGGUGCUGGUACUGGGCACUGGUACUGGGUGUUGGUGG